rnacentral:lncRNA from 1 species
AGACAGCGUCUGGCUCUGUCGCCCAGGCCCCGGAGUGCAAUGGCAUGAUCUCAGCUCACUGCAACCUCCGCCUCCCGGGUUCGAGCGAUUCUCCUGCCUCAGCCUCCCAAAGUGCUGGGAUUACAGGCCUGAGCCACAGCGCCCGACCCGGAGAGCUGUUUCUUAAUCUGCCUGGAGGAAAAUCCCCAGCCCCCAACUUUCCACAUACUUCACAUAGAUAACACUGUAACAACUUUGAAACUAAGAGGGAGAGAAUUAAGUUUUCAAAUUUGAAAUUGAGAAGCCUUUGAAGAGUGGCAGCGUUCUAGAAAGUUCCAUGAU